rnacentral:rRNA from 1 species
AUACGGAGGGUGCAAACGUUGCUCGGAAUUAUUGGGCGUAAAGCGCUCGUAGGCGGCCUAGCAAGUCGGAUGUGAAAGCCCUCGGCUUAACCGAGGAAGUGCAUUCGAAACUGCUAGGCUUGAGUAUGGGAGAGGAUUGCGGAAUUCCCGGUGUAGAGGUGAAAUUCGUAGAUAUCGGGAGGAACACCAGUGGCGAAGGCGGCAAUCUGGACCAAUACUGACGCUGAGGAGCGAAAGCGUGGGGAGCAAACAGGAUUAGAAACCCGAGUAGUCC